rnacentral:rRNA from 1 species
AUGGCCGCGCUCCACGUUUUCUUGCUUCUGCUGGUGUUCGGCGGCGGCGGCAGCGGCGCCAGGGGCGACGACGUGUCCGCGCUGCUCGAGUUCAAGAAGGGCAUCUCGGACCGGCGGCGCGACCCGGUGCUGGGAUCCUGGUCGCGGCCGGACGCGCCCGAGGCCGGCGCCGGCGGGGGCGCGUGCCCCGCGCGGUGGCGCGGCGUGGUGUGCGACGGCGGCGCCGUCGUCGCCAUCGCGCUCGACGGGCUCGGCCUCGCCGGGGAGCUCAAGGUGGGCACGCUCGCCGGCAUGCGCGGCCUGCAGAACCUCUCCCUCGCCGGCAACGCCUUCUCCGGCCGCCUGCCCCCCGCCAUCGGCUACCUCUCCUCGCUGCGCCACCUCGACCUCUCCGGCAACCGCUUCUACGGGCCCAUCCCCGGCCGCCUCGCCGACCUCUCCGGCCUCGUCCACCUCAACCUCUCCUACAACAACUUCACCUCCGGCUUCCCCACCGAUGGGAUCCGGGAGCUGCAGAACCUGCGCCGCAUCGACCUCCGCCGCAACUCCUUCUGGGGCAAUGUCAGCGAUCUGCUCGCCGAGCUCCGCAACGCCGAGCACAUUGAUCUCAGCGACAACCAGUUCACCGGGGCCGUCGAUUUGGAGCUCGCCAGCCUGACCAGCAUCGGGAACACGGCCAGGUACAUGAACCUCAGCCACAACAGGCUGGCCGGCGGCUUCUUCAGGAACGAGACCGUGGGGGCGUUCAAGAACCUGGAGGUCCUUGAUUUGAGCAACACCGGGAUCGCCGGGAUGGUUCCGAGGCUCGAUUCGUGGUUCUCACUGUCGGUCUUCAGGGUGGCCGGUAAUGGCCUCUUUGGGAUGAUGCCUGAGACACUCCUGCAUAAUUCGAUGCGGCUUCUCGAGGUCGAUCUCAGCCGGAACGGCUUCUCAGGAUCAGUGCCAGUUGUGAACUCUACGACUUUGAAAAUGUUGAAUCUCUCUUCGAAUGUGCUAUCAGGUUCAUUACCAGCCACUGUCGGCAAGUGUGUCUCAGUUGAUCUGAGUGGGAACCUGCUUUCUGGGGAAUUAGCUAUUUUGCGUUCUUGGGAUAGCGUAGUGGAGGUGAUUGACUUGAGUUCAAACAAGCUGGAGGGGAGCUACCCGAAUGAUGCCUCUCAGUUUCAGAACUUAGUUACCCUGAAGUUGCAGAACAAUUCGUUGAAGGGAUCUGUCCCUUCAGUGUUGGGAACCUAUCAAAAGCUAUCUUUCCUUGAUCUCAGUCUGAAUGCACUUGGUGGCCCUGUUUUGCCUGUUUUUAUUCUGUCGCCUACUCUUACAGUGUUGAACCUUUCUGGAAACAACUUCUCUGGGACUAUUCCAUUUCAGAGCCCUCAUUCAACAGAGUCCAUAAUGCUAUCUUCUCAACCUUCUCUCAAGAUUGUUGAUCUGUCCAGCAAUUCUUUAUCUGGUCAGUUGCCACCAGAAAUUUCUAACCUGCAAAGACUUGAGUCCCUUACUCUUGCGAUGAACGAGUUGUCUGGCGAGAUACCAGAUGAGAUAAACAAGCUUCAAGGAUUGGAGUAUCUUGAUCUAUCUCACAAUCACUUCAGUGGCAGAAUUCCUGAUAUGCCUCAGGCUGAUUUGAAGAUGUUCAAUGUAUCUUACAAUGAUCUACGAGGAACUAUUCCUAAAAGUCUUGAGAAGUUUCCCAUAACUUGCUUUAGACCCGGAAAUGACUUUCUAAUUUUCCCAGAUGGUCUGCCUGCUCCAAAUAAUGGCGAUGGUGGACUUGCACAGAGUCGAGCGUCUCAGUCUCAUGGACAUAAGGCUGGUGUUAAAGUUGCAGUCAUAGUUGGCUGCAUUGGAGGUGUCUUGCUCGUGAUCUUCAUAGUAUUGGCAAUCUAUGUGGUGAGGUCUCAAGAGCUUUGUGGAAGAAACGGAUUUAGAGGCCAGAUUACUCUCAGAGAUCUAAAGCUGGGGAAAUUAAGCCGUCCAAAUUUAUUCAAGAGUCCAAAAGAUAAUGUCAUUCCAACCAAGACAAGUUUCUCAAAUGACCAUCUCUUAACAUCUGCAGCUCGAUCAAUGUCUGCUCAGAAAGAGCUAUUGGCUGAGGCUGCUGUUGAAUAUGGAUAUGCUGAUCCAAAGGAAGUCGUCGAAUCUACAAGCUCUGGUGUGACUGAGACCUCAGCUGCAGCAUCUGUUCGGGAGUCUUCUCCUCGGUCUGCGUUGCCAUCAUCACCACAUUUUCUUGAUUCUAGAUUCCAUGAGGAACCUGUGACUUUUGAAGUGUAUUCACCAGACCGGUUGGUUGGAGAGUUGAUUUUCCUAGACAACACCUUAGUUUUCACAGCUGAAGACCUGUCCCGUGCUCCAGCAGAGGUUCUUGGAAGGAGCAGUCAUGGUACAACGUACAAAGCAGCACUACAAAGCGGGCAUGUCCUGACAGUGAAAUGGUUGCGUGUUGGUCUUGUAAAGCAUAAAAAGGAGUUCACUAAGGAGAUAAAAAGGAUUGGCACCAUCAAGCAUCCGAAUAUAAUUUCAUGGAGAGCGUUCUAUUGGGGGCCGAAGGAGCAAGAAAGAUUAAUUAUUUCUGACUAUGUCAAUGGCGAUAGCUUGGCACUAUACCUUUAUGAGUCUACUCCUAGAAGAUACUCCCGCCUGUCAGUCUGUCAACGGCUCAAGAUUGCAAUUGAUCUGGCUCGUUGCCUCCAGUUCCUACACCAUGAGAAGGGCCUGCCUCAUGGCAACCUGAAGCCCACUAAUAUAUUCCUGACCGGUCCUGACCUCUCUCCGAAGCUGGUUGAUUACUGUCUGCAUCGGUUCACGACUCCAAGCGGUAUUGCCGAGCAAAUACUGAAUCUAGGAGCAUUGGGGUACCGAGCCCCAGAGCUGGCAAACACGGCCAAGCCUACGCCGUCGUUCAAGGGCGACGUGUACGCGUUUGGCGUGGUCAUCCUAGAGAUGUUGACGCGGAAGAGCGCGGGGGACAUCAUCUCGGGGCAGUCUGGCGCGGUGGACCUGACGGACUGGGUUCAGAUGUGCAACAGGGAAGGGCGGGGGACUGACUGCUUUGACCGGGACAUCGCCGGGUUGGAAGAGUCGCCGAGGGUGAUGGACGAGCUGCUCGCCAUCUCCCUCCGGUGCAUUCUUCCUGUAAAUGAGAGGCCUAACAUGAAGACUGUCUGCGACGAUUUGUGCGCCAUAACAGCAAUCGGAUCCUGUGAUGAUCUGUGA